GCCUAGCCCUAAACCUUGGUAAUAUAUCACAUACCCUACCCGCCUGGGAACUACGAGCACCAGCUUAAAACCCAAAGGACUUGGCGGUGCUUUAGACCCCCCUAGAGGAGCCUGUUCUAGAACCGAUAACCCCCGUUCAACCUCACCCUUCCUUGUUUAUCCCGCCUAUAUACCGCCGUCGUCAGCUUACCCUGUGAAGGCCUAAAAGUAAGCACAACUGGUACAACCCAAAACGUCAGGUCGAGGUGUAGCGCAUGGAGGGGGAAGAAAUGGGCUACAUUCCCUAUAUUAGGGAACACGAACGGCGCACUGAAACAAGCGCCUGAAGGAGGAUUUAGUAGUAAGCGGAAAAUAGCGUGUUCCACUGAAAUCGGCCCUGAAGCGCGC
rnacentral:rRNA from 1 species